rnacentral:lncRNA from 1 species
UUUUCUCAGCACUCUUCCUACAAGGCGAGGUCAAGAGUCACCUUGUGUUGAAAAUCUUACUAGUAUAGUACUCAACAGUAAAUAUAUUCCCAAAAUGACCGUAAGAAUUCCUACUUCAAACCCUCAGACCUCAAAUAACUGCCAGAACUACUUGACUGAGGUAUCAACCUAUGUUAUCUCCUCCAUCAGAAAGCCCAUGAUAUUGACAUAAAAGUGGCUGUUGCUGUGUUGGACACUUGCUCCCAUCUAUUUUCUUCUCUAGAAUCCACUGCCCUGGAAUGAGUCAUUUUUUUUAGAAGCAGAGGUGGAGCCACUGAGGAAGCACAGGCGAGCCCUCCCCAGCGUGUACUCACUGGUCCCCAACAGAAGAACAGCUGCCGCAUCCACUGAGCAGGCUUCCAUUGUGGUGGGUUGUGUCACCCCACAAUGUCACUGUUGCUGAGUCUCCAUCGCCUCUGUGUUGUGGAGCAGUUAGAGACACACAGCAGUGUCUGUGAGUGGCUCUGUUGAAGGACCGUUUUCUAGAUGAGAGGCACAUCUCAACACAGCUCACUGAUCAGACUCAG